rnacentral:lncRNA from 1 species
UGGUUUGCGCUAGAGAUUACCGCCUCUAUUGCAUUCCACCAGGACCGUAUACACCCAUCUAACCGCAACCCAUAUAGAGAAGACGGAUCGAAAAACAAACAACCCUCCGGAGGAGACAAAACCAAAGCCUGGCUAGGGGCUUGUAGCCCAAUUAUCUCACAAGAAAAUCACACGAGCUGCAAACAGCCUCAAGACACAUUCACGAUGAUGUUGCAAUUAUUGAGUAGAGCAAGGUGACGGAGCAGGCCACAACACCUUCACCACAUAUAUCUGAGGGAUGUCAUGAGUAUACGGAAGCACAAGCUAACGCUCAAGCGAACCAUAGACAACAAAACAUCAACCCGAAGCCACUAGGAGAACACGGACAGCGAACCCAACGACACCACCACCGACGAAACCCUACGCGCCACCACCACCGGAGAACUCGACGGCGGAUCCUCAGAGUAGGCAGAGAGAAGACGACAUAACCGGAAACCAGCAAGGCCAUAAC